AUGGCCACACGGCCAACGCCGGGGUCGCGAGACGGCAGCAGCGCACGCCCAAGAAGCACGAGCGGCAGACCCACCACGUCGUCGAGCGCGCGCCCGGCCAGCUCCGACCCCACCUCCUGCCGACGCGCACGCGCCUCCCUCAGCCCCUCCCCGGCGUCGGAGUCGGACAAGCCGGUGCCGUCCUUCCUCCGCCCCACCCGCCCUCCUCCAAGGGCCGCGCCACCACGCCCAAGGGGCUGUCCCCGGCGCCCAGCGGCGCGCGCUCCAAGUCCGAUCGCGCCGAAGCGGUCCCCCGCGCAGCAGCCCUCGAGCUCGUCGCGGCCGAUCACGCCCAAGCGCCCCCCCGCGCAGCCGGUGAACGCGCCGCGGCCGAUCACCCCGGCCAUGGACAAGUCCAAGGGCAAGGCGUCCACGUCGCGGUGGUCCGUGGCGUCGCCGAGGCAGCUGAUGCAGAAGGCGUCCCACGCCUUCAAGGUCGGCAGGUCCCGCAGCAAGAAGAGCAAGGACCUGGCCGGCCCCGCGGCCGAGGCGAUGGCGUCCGUGAAGGAGACGCCCGGUGCUUCCGGCGAGAUCAACGCCGAGGCGGCGAGACCCCCUCCCGUGCCUGAGCAGCAGCGCCGCCCCGCUGAAAUGACUGCCGCGACACCUCUCGACGUCGUGCAAUCAGAGGUGGUCGUGGAGCCCAACGCUGCCAUGAAGUUACAGGAGGAAGCGACCUCGCGACCGGGCGAAAUUGUCAGUAAUGAAAUCAAGACAGAGGAGGAGACGCGUCAAGAGGAGCAGGAGCCGAGAGCAGAAGCAGAGAAGGCGAAUGCCAUUGACGAGGAGAAGGCCGUGAUACCGAAGGAGUCCGUGGAAGCCGUGAAGGUGGAUGAGCCGGCGCCGGAAGAGAAUCCGCAAGCCGGCAACGUUGAAGGGGCACAAAAGGAAGCUGAGAAGAUUACACAGGAUGAACCUCCGCCGCCGGCCGCCGUUGUGGAAGAACCAACGAAGGAGGCAGCAACGCCGCUGAACGUGCUGCAAGAUGAACCAGCGGCCAGCCCGGUUCAAGAGGAAGCCGUCGUGGAGAGCAAAGCCGAGGAGAGGCCACAAGCAGAGCCGGCGAAGCACGAAGAUGCCAUGAAGCAACCUGAAACAAGUCUGAUCUCUGAAGAACCGAAAGAGCAAUCCGCCGAACCCAAGAUGAUCGCUGCAUCCAAGGCAUCAUCGGUGCCGGCGACGUCGCUGGAAGAAGCUCUGGAGGAAGUGGAGACGGUGACCAAGGUGGGCACUUCGCGAUCAGAGCCCGUGACACCGGCGAAGCAAGCCAUCAACAAGGACAAGGCGGUGAUCGACACGAUCCUGAGCGCUUCGGAGCCAACGACGCCGUUGAGAGGAGCCGCUAAGAAGGAAGGGGCGACGUCCUUCAUGGGGAAGAUUCCGGAGGAGGGUCGGAUGAGUUUCAAGGGGAGCAGGGUAAAGACGGCGAUGGAGAAGCGGCCGGAGGAGGCGCAUCCCAAGAAGAAGGAGGUGUCGCGGAGCAACGACGUGCUGGAGGAGACCAAGAGCAAGCUGCUGGAGAAGAAGAAGAGCAAGGUGAAGGCGCUGGUGGGGGCGUUCGAGGUCGUCAUGGACAGCCCCCGCGCGUCCACGCCGGGCCCGGGCAGAUCGGGCCCGAGGUUCUGA
rnacentral:rRNA from 1 species